GUGCCCCUACGCAUGCGGGCCCCGUGCUCUAAAUUCUUGUUAGCGACAUUCACCCAAUCGCAGGUGCUUCCCAUGCACUUGGUGCAAAAAAAAAUUCAAAUGCCCUCCGACGCCACGCUGGCAUCAGCAUGGCGUCAAAUGGGCCGUCGCAUGGGUCUGUCGAUUAUAGGCCGCUUAUGGCCUGACUUGGGCUGAGGUGGAGCAAAAAAAGAGGAGGCCUGUCCAUUUUUCAAGUUGGGUGCCAGCCUAAUAGUAUGAGGUGGAAUUGCUCUUAUAGGAUUUGCCCCUGGCCAACUUCAUCAAUCUUUCAUGGAGGAUAUUCAUUAUUUCAAAGAUUGUGAGUGUAUUAAGAGAUUUCUCCUAUAGAUUGAAGAUGUUGAGUUGUUCUUGAAAUUAUGGAUUAGGAAUACUGCUAAAAUAUCAUGGAAAAGUAUAAAGAAAGCCCGUUAACAAGGCAAAUCAGAAGUCAACACAGGGAGGAAGAUGAAACGGCUAUUCGUGGAACAAUUGUUUCCUUAUGAUUACGAUUUGUAUUUAUUAAGGAAAUAUCCAAAUUGCAAACAAGCUAAGCCAAUUGUUGAAGCAAAGAAAGGGGAAGAAUCUCAAAUGAAGGUGCCUGGAGAGCCGAAUGAUGUGAUCGUAUUUGAGGAGUCGACAAUGAAUUCUGACAUAAAAGAAUUGAAUCACCAAUUCAAAGUGAUCUCGUGAUUGAAGAGGAAGCCAUAAUAGAAGAAGACAAUCAAGUUAGCAUCCAUGAUGAACAAGGUAUUGAUAAAACUAAAACUAUUGUGGUCGAUGGUUGUAUGGUUAUAGAGAUAAGCCAUUAUCAAACACGAACAUGAAGUACUAAGCAUGUGAACCCAAACAACAAGAUGAUGAGUCAACUGCAUAUUCAGAUCUUAUUUAUGAAAUCGACUGCAUGUUAGAGUAUAUAUGUGCUUAUCUAGCUUCAAGAUCCCUAGUAUCAGAGUCAAUAUUAAGACAAACUUAAGGUCGAGUUCCAUUCAAGUGGAAGAGGUUGAUGUAGGUCAAGAUAUGGGUCAAUACCAACAACAACAACAACAACAACAAAGCCUUUUCCCACUAAGUGGGGUCGGCUAUAUGAAU
rnacentral:lncRNA from 1 species